UGAAGGGCCAUAGCUCAGUAGCUGAGCAUCUGUCUUGCAUGCAGAAGGUCCCCGGUUCAAUCCCCGGCGUCUCAA
rnacentral:tRNA from 1 species